CCCCUUUUUAUUUCCUCGUAUUCACUUCUUUUUUUUUGAGCACUCACCCUCCUGGAAUAAUGUAGCAAGUGGUAGUAACCAAGAUAACUCAAGCAUUUAUUCCACAGGGAAUAACAGGAAUAGGACAAUGUUUUUGGCUAUUCUCUCCCAUAUAGGAGUAGAAUAAUUUUAGGUGGAUCUAGAGAUGGAAAUGAGAGGAUGUAUGUGGAUGUGUACUUCCGGAGUAGAAGUAGCAUGUAUGAGUGGAUGUUGAAGUGAAUCUUGAUUUUAAUCGCAUGACAAGCUCCUAAGGGUCUACACAGCUUGACCACACUCAAUGCUCAUAAGCAGUAAAUGUAUGGUUCUUAGUCUAAUAAGCAUGUAUAUAUGGCUGUGGUAGGAAUUUAAACUCUCAUCAUACAAAAACUCAUCAUGCAACAUUUUUAAAGAUUUUCAAAGAUAAAAUUCUCCAGAAUUCUAACAUCUCUAGGAACAGAUAAACAACAGCUCAACCUUCCCAUAUCAUAUCCGUUAACGACUUAGACUUUAGAUCAAGUACUCUUCCCACAAGUUCAGGUUUAGAGCGAGCUUUAAAUUAUAAUAGUUAUGCCUAACUUGAGAGAGAGAGCUCAAAUUUGAAAACUAGGUACUUGGCAGAGCAACUAUUCAUCAUAUCCAUGUAAGAGUUUAUUAUUAAGAUUUAGUUUAGCAUAGCCACUUUAUUUAUUUAUUUAUCAAAGUAAGCAAGACAUAUUUAUAUAUAAAUAAGCACAAAAUCUGUAUUUGGGUUUUCAUGAUUAUGCAUCUUUUUAUUAUUUGAGUAAAGUAUAAACACGAGUAGAAACACUUAGCUGGAUAAAUGGGGGUGCUCUCCCCCAAGGUGGAUUUUGACGUAAUUUCUUUUGAUGUGGCUAGCAGGUGGUAGAGGUGUGUUUGAAUGUGGGCAGCACCCUAACAACGUUUAGGAUGUCCUCCGUCUACUAGUCUUCUUGAUCCUUGAAUUUUGUGGAGCUCAAAUAGACAACAAAGCUUUGUGGAACUAGUUAAGUGUUAGUGUAAAUCUCUAUCCCUUUAUCAUGUUGAGCUUUCUCAAUAAAUGUUAUUCUCUUUGUUAGGAUCAUAAACUUAUUUUUACAUUUUCAUUUUUAGGAAUAUAUUUAUUUAUUUUUAUGCCACCACAGUGAAUGUACUUAUGGGUUUUAUGCCACUAGCAUACUCACAUGGGGCUUUAUCAUUUUUUACAUUUAUUUUCUUUUUAGGGUAGUAUGAACAUGAUUAACUAAACAAGCUUAUUUAAGGAAAGUAAAUAAUAAAAGGGAAAGUGAUAACUACCAAGUUUACCUCUUGGCACGGUGUUCGGUGCUUUUAAGUCCUCCAAACGAGACUCUUUAUGUCCUUAGUCGUCCUAGGAUUCGUUGGAUGGCAUAGACGGUGGUUUCGGCGGCGCCUCCUCUUCUAUUAUAACUCUUUUCUCUUUCCAUACCUGAUUUGGUGCUACAGUCUCCUUAGGCAAACCUGUUCGAGAUAUAUAUCUUCAGAUCUUAUUACCUCUCCUUCAUAGUCCACCCAUCCGUCCUUGAUGAUUUGCCUCCUCUGGUUGCGGUUGCGUCGUCUUCUACUCAUCCUGGUCUACUUAGAAUCUUCAAAUAUAUAGUUAGAAUUAUUAAAGCAACGACAUACUUUCUCAGAGGGGAAGUGCAUGUGGACUUCUUCUGUUCCAAUGUAGAUGAUGGCUUUAACGGUGCUGAGGAACGAUCUUCGAAGGAUGAUGGGUAGAUCAUACUCAUCUUCUCCCAUGUCAAUGACUUGGAAAUCUAUCGGAAUAAAAUGGUCGUUGAUUUUGACAGGGAUAGUUACUAUACCUUCGACUUUGUGAAAUGUCUGGUCUACCAUCUGGAGCUGAGUGUAUGUUGGUUGUAGGGGCAUGGUUCCGUACAGGAGUUGAUAGGUGACUGCGGCCAUUAUAUUGACGCCCGGUCCGGUGUCGUAGAUUGUCUUCUAGAAGGAAUAUCCAUUGAUUGUGCAUU
rnacentral:lncRNA from 1 species